UACGGAGGGGGCGAGCGUUAUUCGGAAUCAUUGGGCGUAAAGGGCGCGUAGGCGGCCCGGUAAGUCAAAGGUGAAAUCCCUCGGCUCAACUGAGGAACUGCCUUUGAAACUGUCGGGCUUGAGGCCGGGAGGGGGUGGCGGAAUUCCCAGUGUAGCGGUGAAAUGCGUAGAUAUUGGGAGGAACACCAGUGGCGAAGGCGGCCACCUGGACCGGUAUUGACACUGAAAAGCGAAAGCCAGGGGAGCAAACGGG
rnacentral:rRNA from 1 species